rnacentral:piRNA from 1 species
UGAGUUCUGCCACUCAAUAGUGAUGC